UAAUUAGUACCUGCUCUAGUACUUGCUGUGGGUGGGAAAGCCCUCUGGGAAGGCUCGAGCUGUCAUUAAAAUGAGAGCAAAGGAGGGAGGCUCUUAAUUAUUAAUAAGAACUAAAGAAAAACUAUGUUUAUGUGAAUUUCCAUUUCGAAUUAAAAACCCAGAGAUUAGAUUAACUGCUCUGCUAGACAGAAUUGUAGUGCCAAUGGGGGCCUGCUGUAGUAUUAUUCUCUCAAACCCAAACGCAAUGAGUAACCUCCCAAGCCUGCCCUCGUAUCUCAGUAGAAGAUUCCUCUACUGCCUGGAGUCCCAGGGGUCCUCCCAGUUUUUUCUCUCAGUUGCCAACUGCCCGGCUUCUUCCUUCUCCUGCAUCAGCCUGAGCUGGCCUGAUCCGGAAAAACUGGUUGGGCUGUGCCUGACUAGACCAGUUACAACACACCAGGAAAGCAAAGGUCGCAGUCAUUUUAUGUCUGCAGUAUCGAACAUAAAGUACUGAACAUCGAGGGGCGUCUUACACACGGAAAAAUACGGAGGGAGCUGAGGAGGGAGCCUCACGGGUGCCUAGCUGCCCAUACCUUAUCUAACAGGCUUCCUCCAACCACCAGUCUUAUUGUUACUGACAUCAGCUGAUGCCAAAUUGGACGUGGAGGUGGAGAGUGCGCAGAUGCAACAGGGACCUGAGCAUUCUGAGCCCAUAAAGAUGUCAAAAAAUACAAAGGCUGGGAACACAUGCCCAAUGAGACCUCAAGGAACCCAAUCUCCUUGCCAAGGAUCGCCCUGAUAUGGUUCCCCUGGAGGGCCACGUGAUUCUAAAGACUUGCAGCAUGUGAGCUGUGUGAGGGCAGAAAUAGUUCGACAAGUUCACUCCCCAGCUACCAGCACACGGCACAGGGUAAGUGGCCGUAAGUAAAUGUGGAAUGGUUCAAAAACCUAGGUGCUGAUCAUUUACUUCAGGGCUGUUCUGUCUCCC